GCUUUGCUUCAGCAGCACGAUCAAUACUGGAGACUUCAGUUUGUUGACCUCCAAUAUUUACGUGCUGCUAUAGUAAAGC
rfam:Oryzias latipes DNA, chromosome21, strain: Hd-rR.